CAUUAAUUCAAAGUCGAAACGUUUAACAUCAUUUCUCUGAAUUUGCAGAAAGAUUUCGACCAUUUCAACAAACGACUUUUCAGUCGUCAAGCUUAGCUUACGGGAGUUUCACCAGGCUUACUUUAAAGACUCAGACUUCCCGACCUCGGCUAGAAUGAAAAGAAACAGGCUACGUAAGGCUAGAAUGGCCAUCUGUUUUCCAUCUCGACCCUGCUACGAAGAGCUACUAAUGCUGUGUGGGACUGUAUUCACCUGCCAGAAAGCAUGCUCUAUCGACAAUCUACGAAAAGUGAUUUUGCAGCGUUCAAAGAUCGAUCGAGAACUAAGAAAGGUUCACGACAGAUACAUACGACAUUUAUGUCAAGAAGGAGCAAAGUACUUUCGGCAUUUUUGUAUGCUUCAUUUUUCCACGCAGGUAAAAUUAUUGAAUGUCUUCGCUGUCAAAACAAACUAGGCUCUACGCUAGUGGCGAUUAGUCAUAGCGAAGAGAACGAUAUACAGAUGCGCUUGUAUUCUAACCAGAAGUAUUUUUAUUGCAUAAAUGUCGAAAAAUUGGC
rnacentral:lncRNA from 1 species